rnacentral:rRNA from 1 species
CGUCUCAGUUCGGAUUGUAGUCUGCAACUCGACUACAUGAAGCUGGAAUCGCUAGUAAUCGCAGAUCAGAAUGCUGCGGUGAAUACGUUCCCGGGUCUUGUACACACCGCCCGUCACACCAUGGGAGUCGGAAAUGCCCGAAGCCGGUGACCCUACCAAAAGGAGGGAGCCGUCGAAGGCAGGUCUGAUAACUGGGGUGAAGUCGUAACAAGGUAUC